CAAGGAGGGAGUGAUCCCUUGGGCCCUCCAAACUUUAAAGGUCUCAGAGAGGGGAAGGGACAAAGGAGCAAAGGAGGUUAAGAGUAGCCAGUUCAAUAACAAAAAUACCAUGUGGUGGUCAGAGAAGCCAAAUGAAGAAAUUUCAUAGAGAGAGUAAUGCACUAUGUCAACUGCUACUGUUAAAUAAGAUAAAGACUGAGAACGGACAAUUGUCUUUAACUAUUAGGAAGUCAUCAGUAACCUUGAGAAGGGUUAUUUUGAUAGAGCGAUGAAUGCAAAAGUUUGACUAGAAUGAGCUGGAGAGAGAAAGGGAGAAGAGAACCUGAAGAUAAAUGAAGUUUGCUCAGGAUAUGGUCUAUGUUGAGCAAAAGAUAAAAGGUAGCAGCAGCCACCGACAGAAACUUCUGGCAACCACCAUUGAACAAGAUCAGCCCAAAGAAAACACAAUUCCACUAAAUAUUCUUUGAAGCCCGAUGUACCACUAAUCCCACAG